GGCGAGUGAAGCGGCAACAGCUCAAAUUUGAAAUCUGGCGUCUUUGGCGUCCGAGUUGUAAUUUGCAGAGGGCGCUUUGGCAUUGGCAGCGGUCCAAGUUCCUUGGAACAGGACGUCACAGAGGGUGAGAAUCCCGUACGUGGUCGCUAGCCUUUACCGUGUAAAGCCCCUUCGACGAGUCGAGUUGUUUGGGAAUGCAGCUCUAAAUGGGAGGUAAAUUUCUUCUAAAGCUAAAUACUGGCCAGAGACCGAUAGCGCACAAGUAGAGUGAUCGAAAGAUGAAAAGCACUUUGGAAAGAGAGUUAAAAAGCACGUGAAAUUGUUGAAAGGGAAGCGCUUGCAGCCAGACUUGCCUGUAGUUGCUCAUCCGGGUUUUUACCCGGUGCACUCUUCUAUAGGCAGGCCAGCAUCAGUUUGGGCGGUUGGAUAAAGGUCUCUGUCAUGUACCUCUCUUCGGGGAGAACUUAUAGGGGAGACGACAUGCAACCAGCCUGGACUGAGGUCCGCGCAUCUGCUAGGAUGCUGGCGUAAUGGCUGUAAGCGGCCCGUCUUGAAACACGGACCAAGGAGUCUAACAUCUAUGC
rnacentral:rRNA from 1 species